rnacentral:snRNA from 1 species
GCUGCUUCUCUGCCUUUUGGCUAAGAUCAAGCGUAGUAUCUGUUCUUAUCAGUUUAAUAUCUGAUACGUCCUCUAUAUGAGGAUGCCCACAGUUCCGACAGUCCAUGACUGAGGUGUCCUUGAGCAAGACACCUAACCCCCA